ACCCCACUGCUAUCGGGAUAGGACUAAGACAUGCUAGUUGAGCGCUUCAGCCAAAACGAGGCGCAGCAUACAGCUCAGUAGCACGUGGCUAAUCUGCCCUUAGGAUAGGAACAACCCCGGGAAACUGGGGCUAAUUCCCAAUAGGCGAAGAACUCUGGAAUGAGUCUUCACCCCAAAGAAACCCACGUUACGCUCGUGGGCCUCGCCUAAGGAUGAGGCCGCGGCCGAUCAGGUUGUUGGUGAGGUAAUGGCUCACCAAGCCUUUUACCGGUGCGGGCCGUGAGAGCGGGAGCCCGGAGAUGGGUACUGAGACAAGGACCCAGGCCCUACGGGGCGCAGCAGUCGCGAAAACUUUGCAAUACACGCAAGUGUGACAGGGCUAUCCCGAGUGCCAUCCGCUGAGGAAGGCUUUUACCCAGUCUAGAAAGCUGGGGGAAUAAGGAGAGGGCAAGUCUGGUGUCAGCCGCCGCGGUAAUACCAGCUCUCCGAGUGGUGUGGAUGUUUAUUGGGCCUAAAGCAUCCGUAGCUGGCUAAGUCAGUCCCUUGUUAAAUCCACCGAAUUAAUCGUUGGAUUGCGGGGGAUACUGCUUGGCUAGGGGACGAGAGAGGCAGACGGUAUUUCCGGGGUAGGGGUGAAAUCCUAUAAUCCCGGGAAGACCACCAGUGGCGAAGGCUGUCUGCUAGAACGCGCCCGGCGGUGAGGGAUGAAAGCUGGGGGAGCGAACCGGAUUAGAUACCCGGGUAGUCCCAGCUGUAAACGAUGCGCGUUAGGUGUAUCGGUGACCACGAGUCACCGAGGUGCCGAAGGGAAACCGUGAAACGUGCCGCCUGGGAAGUACGGUCGCAAGGCUGAAACUUAAAGGAAUUGGCGGGGGAGCACCACAACAGGUGGAGCCUGCGGUUUAAUCGGACUCAACGCCGGGAAGCUCACCGGAUAAGACAGCUGAAUGAUAGCCGGGUUGAAGACUCUGCUUGACUAGCUGAGAGGAGGUGCAUGGCCGUCGUCAGUUCGUACUGUGAAGCAUCCUGUUAAGUCAGGCAACGAGCGAGACCCACGCCAACAGUUGCCAGCAUGUCCUCCGGGAUGGUGGGGACACUGUUGGGACCGCCUCUGCUAAAGAGGAGGAAGGAAUGGGCAACGGUAGGUCAGCAUGCCCCGAAUUAUCCGGGCUACACGCGGGCUACAAUGGUCAGGACAAUGGGUAUCAACACCGAAAGGUGAAGGCAAUCCCCUAAACCUGUCCUUAGUUCGGAUUGUGGGCUGCAACUCGCCCACAUGAAGCUGGAAUCUGUAGUAAUCGCGUCUCAAAAUGGCGCGGUGAAUAUGUCCCUGCUCCU
rnacentral:rRNA from 1 species